rnacentral:siRNA from 1 species
GGCAGAGUAGGGCAAAUGCCAUGG